AAUAACAGAGGACAGAUUUAAGAGUCACGUGUUUAAAGGCCACGUCUAUAAAAAUAUACAAAAUCUAUUUAUAUUCCAUUUCCACAUUUUAGUUAAAGGUUUCUCUUCCUGUUUCUCGUCUUCUUGUGGCUUGUUGCUUGCGGUCAAUGCUGAAGGUUUAUUCUCUUUUUCUUAAAAUGUCGAUUAUGAUGAACUUGAUGAUGCCGAGAUUCAAACCAGUGUAGUUCUAAUGUUCUUCUGUGGUCCAGAAACGCGGCUUUUCAUUUCAAUCCCGUGGCUUUGGUUAAAGGUGGAAAAAUGAUCUGAAACGAUUUAUCCUGGUGCGAUUUUGACAGCUUUAACAUGGUACCCAGUUCUUGGAUACAAUCAGUAACAAAACAUACCAGACAAUGAAGCUGGUUAUCUGGCUUGUGGGAAUAGUACAGGAAAACUGAAGAAACCACCCUGUACAUCCUGAUAUCCUGUAGUCUUGACAUCAACCCUGUAGUGCUGAUGGAUGGGACGGGCAACUGGAACACCAACCACAUUUACAGCUACAUAAAUUUAAUUCUGAAUUACUGCAACGCUGAAGCAGAAUGAGUGAAAACAAUGGAUUAAAACAAUGAAUAGGCGAGCAAAAGAUAUACACUUAAAAGCUUCUAGAAGGUUUAUUCCAUGUUCCUCUGACUCCUUGAGUCAUACAAAGCUCACCAUGAGGUUCAUUUCUGCCAUAUUGAAAUGUUUCUUCAUCUUGAAGGAUUUUUGUCCAUUUGAACUGUUGUUUAUUAGACACAGUUUGUCUAAUAAUCACCAAAUUUGAAACACAGCAUCAAGCUUUUUUCCAUUAUAAUUUCCUAGAAGGGGCAAAGUGUUAAUAAUGUCACUCAAUUAUGCUAAACAAGAAGUUUGCCAUUUUGACAAAAACAUACAUGCUUUUCCUAGAAAUUUAGCCUAAUAAGUAAAAGGAAAAAAAAGGCAUUGGUCAGGUGUCCACAGACCACAUUUGGUCAUAUAGUGUCAUUGUUUCAGUGAUUUGUACUGAGGUCUGAGAGAGAGCUUGUGUGAGAGUUGAGAUCUAAGAUCUGGGUUUAGAAGCUAUAGAUCUCAGUAUUAACCUGGGAGAUGACCUUACCAUAAAAAUCGACUAUAUGGCCAAAAGUAUGUCACACCUGACCAUUACACCAAUACAGUCUCCUCUUAAAGUAUUGAAAAGCCUAGGCCAAUUGUUUCUGCUGUAAACUAAGAACAUGGUACUUUUAGUUGCAGACCGUCUCAUAAGCAAUCACAGCAUCAAGUUGUAACAGUUGUAGUAAUUCACCCUCCUGGCCCCUAGGGGAAGUCGGGGCAGUUAGCUUUAAGGAAGAUUAUUAUUCUCACAGCUCAGUUUUGCAUGAAAUGUGUUGCCGUUUUUAUGUAUGAAUAGUUUAUAUAAAAUUGCCUUGUACUCUGGUCUGUAUUUGGUCACCUUUUCGUACCUUUCAUCUUCACAAAGUUUUGUGGGAUGACUGAAAUGCGAUGUUGACUUGCAACUUGGCAUGAAAUGGCAUGUUCAUUAACGUUGGGAAAAAGAAGAAGGCUGAUAUAUAAUGAUAUUUAUUUUCUUUGUCAGUGCUUGUUUUAUUUUUGGUUUAUGAUUCACUUUUGAGAUCCAAAAAUAUAUUUAGUAUAAAGUAGUCGAGUGCAAAUCAGAUGACACAUCACCUAAUUGAAUGCAUUUCUCUUUAAAUUGGUAGACCGAAUGUUUCUGUAGACUUCUGAAUUCUGCUACCAUCACAAGGUCAACCAUCAGUACUCAUAAAUAAAAACCUGAUUUCUAAAUGCUCCAAAACCUAUUAAUGAAAACCCUCUGACUAAAAAAUCUCCCCAAAGCCCAAACUAAAUGCCUCAGUGACCACCAUGGCAACAUUCUAACAACAACUUGCCUAAAACACCCUGGAAUAGCAUAGAAAAACUAACUAGAACCAUAGCAACCACCAUAGCAAUCAACUGGAAUCCAAUAACACAAACCUAGUAACACUGAAGGAAUCUACUGGAACACCACAGCAAGUGCCUGGUAACCCCUUAGUAACCAACCAAGAUGUGAUAGCAACUGCUUAGCUACACCUUAGUAACCGUCAAG